rnacentral:lncRNA from 1 species
GAGAAAUAAAAAGUAUUUGUUUGAAGUAAGUGAGUAGUUUAGAAAACAUAAUAGCAGAAAGCACAGUUGAGUGAAAAGCGCGUGGAGUAAUAAUAAGAGAGAAAGAAGAAGACACACACAUUAUAAAAUCCCUUCACAAAUAACAUUGUUUUCUCUCUAUACAAAAAAACAAAGACAUCGUACGGAAACAAAAACAAUGUCUCGUCAUCGGCGCCAACCCUCUCAAGCCAUUCCCACAGAUAUCUUCGCUAAGCCAUUUGAUUUAACAACUCCGGUCAACACUAUCUCUGAAGAAUCAUCAUCCACCAUUUCUCAACAACACAACACCAACAACCAGAUCAUCAAAGACUUACCCUCUCCCGCCGCCGCCGCCGUCGUCACUACUUCUCCUCUCAAGCCGAACCCGCCGCCGCUUCAUAAAUCGGCUUGAAAUCAAUCUACCUUCUCGAUCUCCGUCACCUUGCUUCUGCUGCUAGCAUUGCACUUUUUUUUUUUUUUAGUUCUCUUUGUAAUUUUCUGUUUUUUUAUUUUAAUAUUUUCUCUUUUUUUUGUUUAAGAUUAUUAAUGUAAGAUAUAAUACAGCAGAGAAGCUGAUGGAUGUUGUAACAUGCUUAGUGGUUAUCUUAAUCUAUGUUUAAGAUGAUUUAUUUUUGCUCAUGAGAUUUUAUUAUUAUUAUUUUUAUUUUAUUUUAUUUUUGUCUACUUGAUGGGUUACAAUUCCACACAUAAUAGAUUUACUUUAAAAUACAACAUAGAUUUAAUUUUUAAAAGGUACAAAUUUAAGUUGAGAACUAGGGAGAGGUGUGAGAAGAAAAAAAUAAUACAAAUGAUGAG